rnacentral:rRNA from 1 species
CUGAACCUACGGGGCGCAGCAGUGGGGGAUAUUGCACAAUGGGGGGAACCCUGAUGCAGCGACGCCGCGUGGGUGAAGAAGCGCCUCGGCGCGUAAAGCCUUGUCAGCAGGGAAGAAAAUGACGGUACCUGAAGAAGAAGCCCCGGCUAACUACGUGCCAGCAGCCGCGGUAAUACGUAGGGGGCAAGCGUUAUCCGGAUUUACUGGGUGUAAAGGGAGCGUAGACGGCGAAGCAAGUCUGAAGUGAAAACCCAGGGCUCAACCCUGGGACUGCUUUGGAAACUGUUUUGCUAGAGUGUCGGAGG